UGAGGAAUAUUGGUCAAUGGGCGAGAGCCUGAACCAGCCAAGUCGCGUGAGGGAAGACGGUCCUACGGAUUGUAAACCUCUUUUGUCGGGGAGCAAUAAAGCGUACGCGUACGCAGAUGCGAGUACCCGAAGAAAAGCAUCGGCUAACUCCGUGCCAGCAGCCGCGGUAAUACGGAGGAUGCGAGCGUUAUCCGGAUUUAUUGGGUUUAAAGGGUGCGCAGGCGGAAAGUGCAAGUCAGCGGUCAAACGACGGGGCUCAACCCCGGUCUCGCCGUUGAAACUGUCUUUCUAGAGUGAGCGAGAAGUAUGCGGAAUGCGUGGUGUAGCGGUGAAAUGCAUAGAUAUCACGCAGAACUCCGAUUGCGAAGGCAGCAUACCGGCGCUCAACUGACGCUCAUGCACGAAAGCGUGGGUAUCGAACAGGAUUAGAUACC
rnacentral:rRNA from 1 species